rnacentral:tRNA from 1 species
GCCCGGCUACCUCAGUCGGUAGAGCAUGAGACUCUUAAUGUUAGGGUCGUGGGUUCGAGCCCCACGUUGAGCG